UANNCNGAUCGUNNAGUGNNNNUGAANUNCCNCGGCUUNANCUGUGGANCGGCUGGGCAUACUGGCGGUCUUGAGCCAUCUAGGGGCUACUGGAACAAACGGUGGAGCGGUGAAAUGCGUAGAUAUCGUUUGGAACGCCAAUGGUGAAAACAGGUAGCUGGGGAUGAGCUGACGCUGAGACACGAAAGCCAGGGGAGCAAACGGGAUUAGAUACCCCGGUAGUCCUGGCCCUAAACGAUGUCCACUAGAUCGCAGGACCUCUGACGGUUUUGCGGUCGAAGCAAAAGUGCUAAGUGGACCGCCUGGGAAGUACGGUCGCAAGGCUAAAACUCAAAGGAAUUGACGGGGGCUCACACAAGCGGUGGAGCAUGUGGUUCAAUUCGAAGCAACGCGCAGAACCUUACCUGGGCUUGACAUGCUUGGAUUAUCCCGGUGAAAGCCGGGUAGGCCCUUCGGGGUACAACAAGUACAGGUGCUGCAUGGCUGUCGUCAGCUCGUGUCGUGAGAUGUCGGGUUAAGUCCCAUAACGAGCGAAACCUUUGCCCUUAGUUACCAGCGGGUUAUGCCGGGGACUCUAAGGGGACUGCCGGUGUCAAACCGGAGGAAGGUGGAGAUGACGUCAAGUCCUCAUGGCCUUUAUGCCCAGGGCCACACACGUGCUACAAUGGCGUCGACAAAGCGAGCCUACAGCGCGAGCUGAUGGAAAACGCAAAAAUGACGCCCCAGUUCAGAUCGGAGGCUGCAACUCGCCUCCGUGAAGUUGGAAUCGCUAGUAAUCGCGGAUCAGCUACGCCGCGGUGAAUGUGUUCCUGAGCCUUGUACACACCGCCCGUCAAGUCAUGGGAGCCGGAAAUAGCCGAAGUCGCUGUGAUACAGCAGUGCCUACGCUAGGUUCGGUGACUGGGACUAAGUCGUAACAAGGUAACCGUAA
rnacentral:rRNA from 1 species